rnacentral:tRNA from 1 species
GGAGGGGUGGCCGAGCGGUUUAAGGCGCCAGUCUUGAAAACUGGAGACCCGCAAGGGUCCGUGAGUUCGAAUCUCACCCCCUCCGCCA